UGUAGCAAUACAAGGCAGACGGCUCAGUAACGCGUAGUCAACCUAACCUAUGGACGGGAAUAACCUCGGGAAACUGAGAAUAAUGCCCGAUAGAACACUAUACCUGGAAUGGUUUGUGUUCCAAAUGAUUUAUCGCCGUAGGAUGGGACUGCGGCCUAUCAGUUUGUUGGUGAGGUAAUGGCCCACCAAGACUAUUACAGGUACGGGCUCUGAGAGGAGUAGCCCGGAGAUGGGUACUGAGACACGGACCCAGGCCCUAUGGGGCGCAGCAGGCGAGAAAACUUUGCAAUGUGCGAAAGCACGACAAGGUUAAUCCGAGUGGUUUCUGCUAAAGGAACCUUUUGUUAGUCCUAGAAACACUAACGAAUAAGGGGUGGGCAAGUUCUGGUGUCAGCCGCCGCGGUAAAACCAGCACCUCAAGUGGUCAGGAUGAUUAUUGGGCCUAAAGCAUCCGUAGCCGGCUCUGUAAGUUUUCGGUUAAAUCUGUACGCUCAACGUACAGGCUGCCGGGAAUACUGCAGAGCUAGGGAGUGGGAGAGGUAGACGGUACUCGGUAGGAAGGGGUAAAAUCCUUUGAUCUAUUGAUGACCACCUGUGGCGAAGGCGGUCUACCAGAACACGUCCGACGGUGAGGGAUGAAAGCUGGGGGAGCAAACCGGAUUAGAUACCCGGGUAGUCCCAGCUGUAAACUAUGCAAACUCAGUGAUGCAUUGGCUUGUGGCCAAUGCAGUGCUGCAGGGAAGCCGUUAAGUUUGCCGCCUGGGAAGUACGUACGCAAGUAUGAAACUUAAAGGAAUUGGCGGGGGAGCACCACAAGGGGUGAAGCCUGCGGUUCAAUUGGA
rnacentral:rRNA from 1 species